UCAAACGAUUCCCUAAAAUAAUUAAAACGCACUGCCUGCUUACAGCAAGAGGCUGAAACAAAAGUUGUUUUGAAACUGCUGAUUAAAAGGAGAAGCGGUUCUCGGGGACCAGGGCUGGGGAAGUGGUUCCAAGUUAGAGCAGCUGAGGUGAAAGCACACACCCACCCACCGUGACACCCAUGUGCUGUAUCGAGAGUAUCGAGAGACUGGACAGUGUCGGUUCUCCUACCGCUCAUCUUGGAGGGGUCUCGGAAGACGGCCACCCCGAUCCCUCUGGACCUCCUUAAUCUCGGAAUCGGAUGCCUUUCAGUCCUCCCUCUCCGUCUCCUGUGAUGAUUGGGCCACCCGGGCAGCCCCCAGAACUCUCCCGUGAUUUGUGACAGACUGUCAGCUUCAAAUCGCAAUCACAGCCACAACGGCAAUGGAAAAUACUGUAAACUGGAAAAUAUCCCAGUGGUUUAGACCAAGUUGUGUAACUAGUGCUUGAGAUGGCAUUUUUCUUUUCUUUUUUCUUCCCCCUCUUCUCAAAACCAUGCGACAAUGACUGGUUGUGCUGCGUUUACAGCCAGCAACAAACGAGAUAUUCCCAGAGAAAGUGCCAGCUGGAGAAACACCACUGGUUUGGGUUAUUUCCAGAACCAUUUGACCCCAAACCAGGAGAGAACAAAAGUAUGCAUGCGCUGAAAAUGAAAGGGGUUGGUGGCAAGUGAGGUUAUUUGUUUUUGCUUUUGUUUUUAGUUUAGUCAGAGAAGACUAAGAUCCUGCCUAACGGACUCUUUAGGUUUUCUGGACUCUGUCCUGUUCAUUGCUUAUUCCCCACGGUAGUUUCUGCUGUACUGAGCAGCACAUGGCUCGAGGUGUGAGGGGAUACCGGGGGCGUCGAGCUGCAGGGAAACCGCUGCCAAUGUGGCACAGUGACAACCACUUUAAAUACUGCUGAGUCAAAACCACUGAGCAGGACCUUGGCAUGCUGCCGCUGUAAUCCUCUGGUCAGAGAUGGUUUAAUUAUUAAUCGCCGAUGGUAAUCAAUACCAGAGUUUACAAGAAUCUUUUCUUUGAUUGGGGAAUUUUUUGGCCGCAGAAACCUGCGCUAUUCAGGAAGGGAAGAUUCUAGCUGUAGAAGAUGCUUGUUCGUGCAUGCCAUUGGAGGGGUGAGGAGAUUUCUGUGAGUGAGAUGAAUAAACUGUGCACACUCAGAUCUGGCAUUUAAAACUUCUGCUGAAAACAUACCACCAUGGCCAAAAUGUGGGUCUUUGCUUUUGACUCCUGGGGCACUUUCAAGUCUAGGAAUACUGUGCCAGGAUUUAUACAGGAACAACCUAUUGUAACUGUAACAGAACUCUGCUUUCAUCUCGUACUGUAAGUCACGAUUUAGAAAUUAUGGAUUUUAGCCAAGCGCUACAGGCACAGUACAGCAGAGUGACCAUUGCCAGGGCUGUAAAAGCACGUAGUUGGUGAGUGGUGCAGGUCUGUGUCAUUAUUUAGGCUGAACUUUUCUUAUUGCCUCUUAACUGAAGUGCCAUUCUCUCUUAGACAUAAGGCAAGCUUAGUUUUCCAGCAGUCAUUUACUCUGAAUCAUAGCUAAAUGUCUGGACCUCUGUUCCUAAUGACUCAGACAGGAAUCGUCUCCAUUUUAAACACUCUGUCAGCUAAACCCCCUCUCAGCACACGUCAGGACUGAAAAUCCAGUCUGAAGGCAAAUGUAGACUAGUAUGGAGAGGAAGAUGUUUGGCACAUUAAAACAAUUUCAAUUUAGGCUCUUUCAGGGGUUUAUUUAGCGACGAAAUUGGUUAAUCACAUUAUCUGCUAGAAGCUGGAUUUAAGAAAUAUUUAUAUGUGACAAACAGGAAUUCAGAAGAAACUGGAAAGAGAUCUGUAUUCUUAGUGGCAUUUCUACUUCCUCAAUACCAAAGCAACAAAAUGCAGAACAAGUGUAACAACACACCUGUUUCAGUGAAAGCACGUAGCCUAAAGCAACAGUAAAGCAUCUGUUACUGUAUAUCCAAGGACAGUUUAUUUCAACAGCAGGAAAUCAGCACAGAGUGUUCCCCUCCAGCCCAUAAGCUGUGGGAGUCUGAAGAGUAGCAGUCUCAUGUGAAUCAUUGAUAUCCAUCACAGAACAUACCGGCCAAUCGCAGCACAAUAUGUGAUGUAUUAGAACUUGGAUUUGAAAAAAUGUCUUAUUACAGUAAUAACUAUGGUGGCACAUUGGUUAGCACUGCUAACCUGGUUUCAGUUCUGCACCUUGGUUGCUGUCUGCGAAGAGUUUGUAUAUUCUCCCCUUGUUUGUGUGGGUUUCCUCCCAGCCCAAAGACAUACUGUACCGGUAGGCUAAUCAGCUUCUGAGAAAAAUGGGUAGGUUUGUCUGCCCUGCCCUGAAUAACUGAUAGAUAUUCUUAAUGGGAAGUGUUGUUGUUGUUAUUUCUGUCUGAAAUAGUGUACAGUCCCAAGCUGGAGUCAGACAGGAGUGGGGAAAGCAACAGAUCCCUGCUGCAGGCUGAAGUGACAAAGCAGUAAUUAAGAUCAAAUGAGAACCUAAACAAACUGUUUCACCAAGGCAUUAGUUGGGCUUAGUCAAUAAAAUGAUUUAUACGCUGUAGCAGAACAAACAGUAAUGUGCAAAGAUAAUAAGUUUCGUGAAUACAAAUUAUCACGCAGCGAGAGCCCCCAAUGAAAAGUUGGGAUCGGUUUCAGAUAUACAUAUAUACAAUAUACUAUAUACAGAUAUUAAUCUAGGACCUUAAAUGAGAUUUUUCACUUCAUUUGCAGGGCAGGAGGGAGAGGUUUAACCAACUGUGGGAAUGCAGUUUGGAGUUCUGAAGCUAGACUGAAAUGUUUAGUAACAUUAUAUCAUCACAUGUCUGUG